GAUUCCUAUGAACUGAUGCAAAGUGAAGUGAGCAGAACCAUGGCAGCUUCUACAGUGACAGCGAUGGGAACGACAGGACCCACGGUGACGUAGCCUGCCCACCCCCAAAGAGAAGGACUCAGGAGUGCCGAGGGGCUCCGGCACCAGUGUGGACUGCAGAGGCCAGUGAUGAAGUGGGCUGCCCAGCUCCUGAACGUUGUUGUCAUUAUUGUUUGUCCUUCCUUUUCAAAGAGGACCGGUGACAUCACAGGGCAUAGAGACUGGUGUGUGGAUUGCAUUUAAGUGAGGCAGAGAGCACAGAGUCGUCAGCCUCACUCUCCCAGAGUCGUCAAAGUCCACUGGGAAGACAAAAGUCAAGAUGACUGGCAGUGGUCCUGGAUGCAGUGGAUGACCUUGGCGUCUUUGGUAUUUGACUAAACUCUAACCACUCGACAAUACCUGCUUCAGCCCCCUUUGUGGCCACUGGGACACAUUGUUCUCAUCUGUCCACUGGGAGAAGUUUUCACAUGCUUGGGGUGACAUCCCCUAAUGCACCAGCAGAAUUGAGGCCUAUCACUUCCCCUCAACCUGGUUUAGUCUGUCUGCCAACGUGGUUUACCAUGCUGCGCGUGCUACAGCUUCCUGGAGCCGCGGGUGAGAGUUGAGUGCAAGGUGGACACCAAGGGUGGAAAAACAGCACAGAAAGGAGCUUGGCAGCCCUCUCUCCAGAGGUGCUAGGCCUCCGUGAACAUCCCAUAUACCUCCCAGAAUACAGGAGAAGGGCAGCGUUACAAAGUUUUACUGCUGGAAGAAAGGACAAGCAGGAUGGUUUCAGAAAAACCUGGGAAGAUUUAUACGUACUGAUGCGAAGGAAAGUGACCAAAACCAGGAAAACCUUGCACACAGUCAAUAUUGUAACAGUAAUCAACUGGGAAAGACUUUGCUACUCAGAUCAAUGCAAAGAUGAAUGACAUUUAUGAAGUACCCAUGAUGAAAAAUGCUCUCCCUCUCUAGGGAGAGUUGUGAUGGUGAGUGGGAUGUCCCUGUGAAGACGUCUCAGUGUAAUUAAGGUUUGGGAUAAGAUUAUCCUGAACUUGGAGAUAAGUUCAUGAGGCAGAUAAGUAUAGAUUUCUAUAGUUCCCCCAGUGUGAGGUCAGUAGUUAAAGAUUGCCAGGCCUGAAACUUUGAAACCCCCUUGUAUCCCCAUACAUUCCGGUCACGGUGACCUUCCCACAGUAGCCUUCUAGCUUGGAUGCACAUUCUAAAUGUUUCAUUUUGGUAGCAAACUAAGGUGAUUGUUUCUUUGUUAUGUUGUUUCUUUCUUUUCUGGAUAUGCAUAUUGUUUCUUUGUUCUUUGUGUCUGGGAAUAGAUUUUCACGCUUAGAUUGUAAGCCAAAUAUUGGAUAGUUGGUGGGAGGGGGAAUUUUCUUUGCUAGGGUUAUUUAAGCUGGCUUUUUGCUUCUGUAAUUUCUCUUCCUUCAGCAGAAAUCAUGCUGGUGCAGGAACACCCGAUUCUCGAGAAUUGAAGUAAACUUUCUGUUCCUACCUUGAGAUACCUCUGAGGUUUUUUUUAGGUCGCUGUCCCACACAGCGGGUUCUAAAGCAUGUUUUUCCUUUUCAAUUUUAGAUGCGUUGGUAGUUUUAUGUGAUCAAAACUGCUAAUUUUAUAUUCUGUGAUCUCCUCUAUCCUUUUUUCGGUGAUGAACUCUUCCCUUCCCCAUAACUGCACAAUGUAUCUUCAUGGCUCCUCUCAUCUGUUUGAACUGAGCUUUUCUGUCUAAGGCAUGUGUUUGAUUAAAGCUGAUCAUGAUCUACAGUGGGAAA